UGGGGAAUUUUGCACAAUGGGGGAAACCCUGAUGCAGCGACGCCGCGUGAUUUAGAAGGCCUUCGGGUUGUAAAAAUCUUUUCUAUGGGAGGAAAAUGACAGUACCAUAGGAAUAAGGACCGGCUAAUUACGUGCCAGCAGCCGCGGUAAUACGUAAGGUCCGAGCGUUGUCCGGAAUCAUUGGGCGUAAAGGGUACGUAGGCGGGUAAGCAAGUUAGAAGUGAAAUCCUAUAGCUCAACUAUAGUAAGCUUUUAAAACUGCUCAUCUUGAGGUAUGGAAGGGAAAGUGGAAUUCCUAGUGUAGCGGUGAAAUGCGCAGAUAUUAGGAGGAAUACCGGUGGCGAAGGCGACUUUCUGGCCAUAACCUGACGCUGAGGUACGAAAGCGUGGGUAGCAAACAGG
rnacentral:rRNA from 2 species